UGGACUACCGUUACUCUGUGAUACACUCUCGACGAGUCGAGUUGUUUGGGAAUGCAGCUCCAAAUGGGUGGUAAAUGCCAUCUAAAGCUAAAUAUUGGCGAGAGACCGAUAGCGAACAAGUACCGUGAGGGAAAGAUGAAAAGCACUUUGGAAAGAGAGUGAAACAGUACGUGAAAUUGUUGAAAGGGAAACGCUUGAAGUCAGUCGCGCCGUUCGGGAUUCAGCCUUGCUUCUGCUCGGUUUACUUCCCGUUGGGUGGGUCAACAUCAGUUUUGGUCGGAGGAGAAAGGCUUGGGGAAGGUGGCAGCAUUCGUGCUGUGUUAUAGCCCCUUGUUGUAUACUUCGACUGGGACUGAGGACCGCAGCACGCCUUUGGCCGGGGUUCGCCCACGUACGUGCUUAGGAUGUUGGCAUAAUGGCUUUAAGCGACCCGUCUUGAAACACGGACCAAGGAGUCUAACAUGUGCGCGAGUGUUUGAGUGUUAAACUCAGACGCGAAAUGAAAGUGAAAAGUUGGGAACACUCAUGUGUGCACCGACGCCCGGAGCUGACCUUCUGUGACGCAUCUGCGGUAGAGCGUAUAUGUUGGGACCCGAAAGAUGGUGAACUAUGCCUGAAUAGGGUGAAGCCAGAGGAAACUCUGGUGGAGGCUCGUAGCGAUUCUGACGUGCAAAUCGAUCGUCAAAUUUGGGUAUAGGGGCGAAAGACUAAUCGAACCAUCUAGUAGCUGGUUCCUGCC
rnacentral:rRNA from 1 species